GAUGAACGCUAGCGGCAGGCUUAAUACAUGCAAGUCGAGGGGCAGCGCGGGUAGCAAUAUCUGGCGGCGACCGGCAAACGGGUGCGGAACACGUACAGAACCUUCCUUCGAGCGGGGAAUAGCCCGGAGAAAUCCGGAUUAAUACCCCAUAGUAAAUUGAAAAGGCAUCUUUUUUAAUUUUAAAGAUUUAUCACUUGAAGAUGGCUGUGCGCCUGAUUAGGUAGUUGGCGGGGUAACGGCCCACCAAGCCUUCGAUCAGUAACUGGUGUGAGAGCACGACCAGUCACACGGGCACUGAGACACGGGCCCGACUCCUACGGGAGGCAGCAGUAAGGAAUAUUGGUCAAUGGACGCAAGUCUGAACCAGCCAUGCCGCGUGGA
rnacentral:rRNA from 1 species